rnacentral:misc_RNA from 1 species
AAGUCGUAACAAGGUUUCCGUAGGUGAACCUGCGGAAGGAUCAUUAACACGUAUCCAAACGUUAAACCCCCCUGUGAAUUCAGUGUACUCGUACGUCCGUUAGAAAAAGCAGCAAUCCCUGCCGAACAGUUUUCGAUUCAGGGACGUCUGGAGGCCCACACGGCCGACGACCGGGUCACUGGGCGCAAGCCCCCUAUAACAAACGCUGCCAAUCGCGGCCGCGAUAAUACGCAGUCGACAAAAAACCGAACAACUGUUAACAAUGGAUAUCUUGGUUCUC